GUUAGAUCUUUUCCCGAGGAAUUCCACCGGACCCUCGGAUACGCUAUCGGCGUCAACUUCGAGCGGCAUCAAGUAAAGCGUCGUCAAGUAAGAAGCCACAAGUCGUGCAGUGCGUUAACUUUUGAAUCCGACAGACAUGCAGUUUGGGGUAUCAGCGCGGAACAGUCGAGCUGCCAGGUUGGUCCGAAUUCAGGGUCGCUGUAAGCCAGAGCUUUUGACGAUUCCAACUCCCGCUCCGUCUGCUCUUUGUCAUCGAGCGAGUAUUUCUUUCUUGCGAGGAAAAUGUAUAAUGCCACACGUGCAGUGUACAAAUCGUACGCUAACUUUCCUGCCAAAUGGAAGUCGCGAGUCUGAUCUGUAUACACUAACGCGUCGUUUCACACUUUUGGAAUGUGUAAAUUGACUCUAUAAUUCUUUCAAAAUUAGCGCUGUAAGAGCGACUGGUAUACUCUACUGAAAUAUUAUAAUCUCACGACAACGGAAGAGAAGCUAGAAAAUCAUAUAACGAGAGUGCGUAGCUUAGUCGAGGCGCAAAAAUACCCGCAUCUAAAAAUCAAAUCGCGCGUCAUCGCCUCUCUACUCCCGCGGUAUUAUAUAUAAUAACUCACAGUCGUCUGGUGGCUUCCGACGACGACGAGCUCGUUGCGGCUUGGCUCGUGAUAGAGAGCCUUUGUGUAAAACUCGUUCUUGAGACACUGAAGCUCGUCGCCGGAGCGUCCGAGAAUCCAGAUGUUCUCGGCUUCUGGCUCGUGACAGACGAGGCAGCCCCGAGACGAUGGCCUUGACGCGGGGAACCACUGCACGCGGCUGAAGGUCUGGGUCGGCUCGAGGCUAAAAGACGGCCGCAGCAAUUUGCCCUGCAUCGAGUAGCGCUGAAUCUCGACGCCGCGAUCCAGAAGGAGGUACUCCUGCGCGAUAUAUGUACGAGUGUUUGUUUUGGCGGGGAUUGAUAUUCUUGGCUGAUACGGGUUUCCCCUGAGGGUUGCGAGUUGGCAGUUGCUCGAGUUAACGAUCGAAAUUACUUGGGUCUCGUCGCAGAAGCACAUAUCCGUAAAGACUCCGUGCAACAGCGUGGAAGCAGCUGGUCUCAGCCCGUGAUGAAUCUCCGGCUCGCGAACCCCUUCGAACACGUUCUCGUCGAGUCGACUCUUGAAGCGCUCGUUCAUUACCCUCAGUUUGGCGCGCCAAAAGCACUCCUCCCUCCCGCUGGCCAUUUUCGUGAAAAAGCGCGUCUUUAGCGUACGAUUUCGUCGCUGGUUAUACUAGGAGCCGGAGAGGAGGAGGUUAACGACAGGUUCUGCUGCUGCUGUUGCAACUCAUAAGCCAAGUAAAUCCAGAAUAGAACUUUCAUCAGCGCGCACUUGUCGAGGCUGCUCAAAAUCCACGAAAUCGCUUCUGUUACGUACAUUGAAUUUUUCUUAUAUAUUAUAGUAGUGAAUUUUUGGGGGUUAGGCGAUUUUCAAGCGAGAUCUCUCUGAUGUCCGAAACAAUGAAACGUACAGCUAUAAAUAAAGAAUAAACACACGUGACUUUAGAGGAACGUAUAUAGAUCUUUGUAUUUUUGAAUUCACGUGCGAGAGUGCAUCGUUUAACAAAAAUAAUAAUAACAUUUUUCUUUUUUUCUUUUAAAGCUUUUGUGUUGAAAAAUUUAAUAAGAUGAUUUUUUUCACGAAAAUUCUUCAAUACUUCUACCAUGAUAGGGUUCGAACAGUUUUCCAAUAAAGAGAAGGAAUCUAGAUUAUAAGCGUAGGCUGCAAAUGCUUGAGCUUUACGCCCACUCAAAGCACGUGGAAGUGCAAUUUCUUCAUGGCUAUAUUCAAUAGGAGAUAUCGAACAAAAUUCAAAUGAUAAAAGUCUGCUUUUCCAAUAUCCUCUUGUAAUAAAUACGAAUACCAAAGCUCGCUGAAACGCACCUUCACUCUUAGUACAUAGCUUCUCUAAAUUAAUCUCUAAUGAUUAAUAACGAAAACAAACGUAAAUUCUCCGUGUUUACAUUUCUCGCUAAGUAUUUCUCUGAUGGAAUUCUACGCGUCUUUGCAAUAAUAAUUGAAGCGAAGUUCCGAGAAACAUAAACUUCGAAGCCCCGACUCGAGAGGGAAAAGCUCGCCGUGCAGCAGCGGGAUAUUUUCCAACGACUUUUUCUGCGCACUAGGGUAUUAUAAGCUUCUACGACGUUCUACGCUGAUGCUAAUGAUAGGAUAAUGCACGAGUCGCGAUGAUUUUCCGUCUAUAUGACUGACGACUCACGCGUGUGAAACGCGACUCUUCGACUUUGGAAAUCCCGUUUUGGAAGCCGCUCGACGAGACAUUUGGCUGCCGAUGCUUAUGUGUCAUCUGUUUACUGAUCUAUAUGAAUAAGAGAUACUUUUGUCGAGAUACUCUUCAAUUUUAUUUCACGCGUUUGCGAUACGAAUCCGUUAUCUUCGAGGGGCCAAUUUCGACAAUUAAUAAAACGUUCGUAGAACGCAAACGUAAACAAACGUUUCCGCGCGCGCGCGCGUGAGAUUUCCCUUUAAAACUUUUGCUCGACAAAGUCCAGACUCCUUGCACAAACAUUUAUACCCCCUUGCUUUAUAACAGCCACUAUUGAUUUCACGUUGCUUUCAUGGGAAUUUCGAAGAAAAACUUUAUUGUGUAUAAUGACAAGUAAACAGCGUUACAUAAUUAUCGUUCAAAGUCGCAUAAUCCCUUUUCAAAGUGAGCUCGAGCUUUCUAUAAAGGCAAUUUAGUGAACAAAUCAGAAACCCUUAUUACUGUAUAACUCGUCAGCUUACGUAACAUCGACGCCUUGUAUCUGCCUUUCUUCAUCCUAGAGUGGGGUUUUCACGUGCACGUGCCGGCGAUGAUGAGAAUUAUCCUCGGCUAAAAAAUAUAAAUUAUGUAUUAGAUAUAAAUGUAUUAUUCUUAAAACAUUAAUAAUUAAUGAAUGUACCAUUGGCGAACGUCUAAAAUGUCGCUUAAUAUAUUAAGCACGCAAGGAUAAGAUAAUGGAAAUAACACGUUGCUGCUAUUGUGCAUACGUUUCAGUGCCUAUUAUAUCAUAUGAAACUUUUAAUACAAUCAGUAUCCACGAUAUAUUAGAAAUCUAUGCAAGUGAUGUUGAACGAA